rnacentral:rRNA from 1 species
CGAAAGCCUGACGGAGCAAUACCGCGUGAGGGAGGAAGGCUCUUGGGUUGUAAACCUCUUUUCUCAAGGAAGAAAAAAAUGACGGUACUUGAGGAAUAAGCAUCGGCUAACUCCGUGCCAGCAGCCGCGGUAAUACGGAGGAUGCAAGCGUUAUCCGGAAUGAUUGGGCGUAAAGCGUCCGCAGGUGGCUAUGUAAGUCUGCUGUUAAAGAGUCUGGCUCAACCAGAUAAAGGCAGUGGAAACUACAUGGCUAGAGUGCGUUCGGGGCAGAGGGAAUUCCUGGUGUAGCGGUGAAAUGCGUAGAGAUCAGGAAGAACACCGGUGGCGAAAGCGCUCUGCUAGGCCGCAACUGACACUGAGGGACGAAAGCUAGGGGAGCG